UUCGGGGUACACGAGCGGCGAACGGGUGAGUAACACGUGAGCAACCUGCCCCUGACUCUGGGAUAAGCGGUGGAAACGCCGUCUAAUACCGGAUACGACCGGCCACCUCAUGGUGGCGGGUGGAAAGUUUUUCGGUCAGGGAUGGGCUCGCGGCCUAUCAGCUUGUUGGUGGGGUAACGGCCUACCAAGGCGAUUACGGGUAGCCGGCCUGAGAGGGCGACCGGCCACACUGGGACUGAGACACGGCCCAGACUCCUGCGGGAGGCAGCAGUGGGGAAUAUUGCGCAAUGGGCGAAAGCCUGACGCAGCGACGCCGCGUGGGGGAUGACGGCCUUCGGGUUGUAAACCUCUUUUACCACCAACGCAGGCUCCCAGUUCUCUGGGGGUUGACGGUAGGUGGGGAAUAAGGACCGGCUAACUACGUGCCAGCAGCCGCGGUAAUACGUAGGGUCCGAGCGUUGUCCGGAAUUAUUGGGCGUAAAGAGCUCGUAGGCGGCGUGUCGCGUCUGCUGUGAAAGACCGGGGCUUAACUCCGGUUCUGCAGUGGAUACGGGCAUGCUAGAGGUAGGUAGGGGAGACUGGAAUUCCUGGUGUAGCGGUGAAAUGCGCAGAUAUCAGGAGGAACACCGGUGGCGAAGGCGGGUCUCUGGGCCUUACCUGACGCUGAGGAGCGAAAGCAUGGGGAGCGAACAGGAUUAGAUACCCUGGUAGUCCAUGCCGUAAACGUUGGGCGCUAGGUGUGGGGACUUUCCACGGUUUCCGCGCCGUAGCUAACGCAUUAAGCGCCCCGCCUGGGGAGUACGGCCGCAAGGCUAAAACUCAAAGGAAUUGACGGGGGCCCGCACAAGCGGCGGAGCAUGUUGCUUAAUUCGACGCAACGCGAAGAACCUUACCAAGGUUUGACAUCACCCGUGGACCUGCAGAGAUGUGGGGUCAUUUAAGUUGGUGGGUGACAGG
rnacentral:rRNA from 1 species